rnacentral:rRNA from 1 species
AUUUAUAAAAAUAGUAAUGUAAAUGAAUAUAAGAAAUUUUUUUAAGUAAAAUAAUUUUUUGUACCUUUUGUAUCAGGGUUAAUUUAAAAUAUUUUAAUUAAUUAAAAAUCUCGAAAUUAAAAGAGUUAAAUAUAUAAAAUUUUUUUUGUUAAAUUAAAAUUAUAAAUAUAUAUUUAGAGAUUAAAUGUUAUUCAAUUUUUAUGAUAUCUAGUUUUUUUUGAAUUAAAUUUAAUUUAUAUAUUUUUAAAAAAUAUUAUUUAAAUAAAAUAUUAAUAUUUUAAAAAUAUAAAUAAUUUAUGGGAUAAACUAUAAAUUAAUUUUAUAAUAAAAUUAUUUUUUUUAUAUUAAAAUUAAUUUUAAAAUUAAAAUAAUUUAAUAAAAAUGUAAAAAUUUAUAUAUUUUAAAUUAAAUUUUUAUAUAAUAUUUAAAAAAAAAAUAAUUAUAAUAAUUUAAUUUUAAUAAAAUGAUUAAAUUAGUAAUUAAAAUUGUUAUAUAUAUAUAUAUAUAAAUUUAUUAGUUUUAAGUAUAGUUAAGGAAUUAAGCAAAAUUUAUAUUCACCUGUUUAACAAAAACAUGUCUUUUUGAAUUUAAUAUAAAGUCAGUUCUGCUCAAUGAAGAAUUAAAUAGCUGCAGUAAAUUGACUGUACAAAGGUAGCAUAAUCAAUUGUCUUUUAAUUAAAGGCUAGAAUGAAUGAAUUAAUGAAAUAUAAACUGUCUUCAAUUAUAAAAAUUAAAUUUAAAUUUUAAGUUAAAAUGCUUAAAUUUAUUUAAGGGACGAUAAGACCCUAUAGAAUUUUAUAUAUAAAUUAUUUAAUUUAAAAUAAAAUGUUAUAUUUAAUUGGGAGGAUUUUUAAAUUUAGUAAACUUUAAAAUUAUAAUAAUAUUGAUUUAUAGAAUGAAAUUGAAAUAUUUAAAUUUAUAAUAAUAGAUUAAAUUACCUUAGGGAUAACAGCGUUAUAUUUUUGGAAAGAUCAAAUUGAAAAAAAUGUUUGCGACCUCGAUGUUGAAUUAAAAUUAAUUAUAAAUGUAGAAGUUUAUUAAUUAAGUCUGUUCGACUUUUAAAAUUUUACAUGAUUUGAGUUCAGAUCGACGUAAGUCAGAUUGGAUUUUAUCUUUAAAUAAAUUAAAAAUUUUUGUACGAAAGGACUAAAUUUUUAAAAUAAUUUUAU